AGAGUUUGAUCCUGGCUCAGAAUGAACGCUGGCGGCGUGCCUAACACAUGCAAGUCGAACGAGAAAAUUCUGCUUCGGCGGGAUGAGUAAAGUGGCGCACGGGUGAGUAACGCGUGGGUAACCUGCCCUUGAAUCGGGGAUAACUUCGCGAAAGCGUAGCUAAUACCGGAUAUUGUCCCUAAGGCUUUGGCCCUGGGGAUGAAAGGUGACCUCUUCAUGAAAGUUGCCGUUUAGGGAGGGGCUCGCGUACCAUUAGCUUGUUGGCGGGGUAAUAGCCCACCAAGGCUACGAUGGUUAGCUGGUCUGAGAGGAUGAUCAGCCACACUGGAACUGAAACACGGUCCAGACUCCUACGGGAGGCAGCAGUGAGGAAUUUUGCGCAAUGGGGGAAACCCUGACGCAGCAACGCCGCGUGAGUGAAGAAGGCUUUCGGGUCGUAAAGCUCUGUCAAAUGGGAAAAAACACUAUCGAUAAAUAGUCGAUAGGAUUGAUGGUACCAUUAGAGGAAGCACCGGCUAACUCCGUGCCAGCAGCCGCGGUAAUACGGAGGGUGCGAGCGUUGUUCGGAAUUAUUGGNGCGUAAAGAGCGUGUA
rnacentral:rRNA from 1 species